rnacentral:rRNA from 1 species
AGUGAACGCUGGCGGUAGGCCUAACACAUGCAAGUCGAACGGCAGCACAGUAAGAGCUUGCUCUUACGGGUGGCGAGUGGCGGACGGGUGAGGAAUACAUCGGAAUCUACUUUUUCGUGGGGGAUAACGUAGGGAAACUUACGCUAAUACCGCAUACGACCUACGGGUGAAAGCAGGGGAUCUUCGGACCUUGCGCGAUUGAAUGAGCCGAUGUCGGAUUAGCUAGUUGGCGGGGUAAAGGCCCACCAAGGCGACGAUCCGUAGCUGGUCUGAGAGGAUGAUCCGCCCCACUGGAACUGAGACACGGUCCAGACUCCUACGGGAGGCAGCAGUGGGGAAUAUUGGACAAUGGGCGCAAGCCUGAUCCAGCCAUACCGCGUGGGUGAAGAAGGCCUUCGGGUUGUAAAACCCUUUUGUUGGGGAAAGAAAAGCAGCAGGUUAAUACCCCGCUGUUCUGACGGUACCCAAAGAAUAAGCACCGGCUAACUUCGUG